AUAUAUAUAUAAUGUGGAAUUAAGCUCAUGUGUUUUUAAAAAAUAUUAAAGUAUUGAUGCUUGUAAGUCUUUCGCUCUUGGAUUCAGAAAUGUGCGGUUAUGAUAAUAAUAAUAUUUUAUGAUUGAAUAGAUCAUUGGUUGAACAGUAUGAUCGAACGAGUGAAAAUGAUCAAAGGAUAGAUCUAAAGGUGAAAAAUUUAUAAACACUAAGUGCUUACUAAUUUUAAAAACAUCAUAGUGGGACACUCUCUCUCUCUCUCUCUCUCUCUCUCUCUCUCUCUCUAUAUAUAUAUAUAUAUAGGUUAAAAAUAUUAUAUUUUGGCAGCUUAAGUUUUAGAGAUAAAUGAUUAUUUUACACAAUAUCAUAAUAGAACGUCCUGAAUUCGAAUCCAAUUUAUUUCAAACGUGAGAGAAAGUACUGAAUGUAAAUAUUUUUUAUUUAUUUAGAGAAAAAUUGCUGAAUAUAAAUAUUUUUUUGAAAGAAAGGUAGCCGGCAUAUUACAGACUUCGUUUAUUUUUUUUUUUUAAAUUGAAAAUAUAAAGUAAUCCGGCUUCAAAUUUGAAACCUCCAGUAGCAAUCACCAAUUUCUUUGCCACUUAUACUGAAUAUAAAUAUUAAAAAAUGUAAUAAAUUUUAUUGAUUGUCCACUAAAUUAAUUAAGCUUCUUUCUGACAAAGCAGAUCUGCUCGCUAGCCAUUACUCGAAGUAAUCUAAUUGGAUCCUAAAAUUAAAAGAUCAAUUUGGUCCACUCGAAAAUUCAAUUAAUCAGGAUUCUUUAUGACAUUCAUGAUGGUCCUCUAGCAUUAUUUUACAAUUUUGAUACAAGCAUGUGUUAGAACUAAAACCGAGAAAAUCUAGUUCGUCGGAUGCGAAAAUACCAAAAGUUUCGAGAAAGAGAGAAGAAAAAUAAAGCACACAAUAUUUACGUGGUUCGGCCAACGGCCUACGUCCACGGGCGAAGACGGAACAGAAAUCUUCAUUAGAAUCAAAGUGGUGUACAAAAUAUAUCUCUCUCACAAAACUCUAAUCCUAAAAAAUACACCCAUAUUCCCUCUCUCAUCUUUCGCACCAAAUCAAUGGUAUAAAGGAUAUAUUUAUAAUAGUGGUUAAAUCCUAAUACAAUUAGGAAUACAAAUCCACUAAGAUUAUGAAUAUCUCAAUAAAAUCAGGCAUAAUCUAAAUUUAACUUAAUGGAAUAAUCAAAAUAGAAUAGGAUUAGAAAAUCUUGCGAUACUAGAAUUCGAGACAUAUCUAACAGCAUGUAUUUAUACGUACACACACACACGCACACAUAAUUUUCUCCUUUUUUUUUUUUUCCCACCUUCAUUCAUGUGUAAACUAC
rnacentral:lncRNA from 1 species